AAUAUUGGUCAAUGGAGGCAACUCUGAACCAGCCAUGCCGCGUGCAGGAUGACGGUCCUAUGGAUUGUAAACUGCUUUUGUACAGGAAGAAAACAUACUACGUGUAGUAAAUUGACGGUACUGUAAGAAUAAGGAUCGGCUAACUCCGUGCCAGCAGCCGCGGUAAUACGGAGGAUCCAAGCGUUAUCCGGAAUCAUUGGGUUUAAAGGGUCCGUAGGCGGCCUUAUAAGUCAGCGGUGAAAGUUUUUGGCUUAACCAAAAAAUUGCCGUUGAUACUGUAGGGCUUGAAUUUUUGUGAAGUAACUAGAAUAUGUAGUGUAGCGGUGAAAUGCUUAGAUAUUACAUGGAAUACCAAUUGCGAAGGCGACUACCUGGACUGAUACUGACACUGAGGUGCGAAAGCGUGGGGAGCAAACA
rnacentral:rRNA from 1 species